GUAGGAUAAUGGCAAAAUUGAUGAAAAUCAAUGACGCAAAGCUAUAGGGACUAAGUUAGAGUAAUCUAAUAGGUUAGCCAGUUGCCGGU
rnacentral:ncRNA from 1 species